GACGAACGCUGGCGGCGUGCUUAACACAUGCAAGUCGAACGGAAAGGCCCUGCUUGCAGGGUACUCGAGUGGCGAACGGGUGAGUAACACGUGGGUGAUCUGCCCUGCACUUCGGGAUAAGCCUGGGAAACUGGGUCUAAUACCGGAUAGGAGCCAUUUUUAGUGUGAUGGUUGGAAAGUUUUUUCGGUGUAGGAUGAGCUCGCGGCCUAUCAGCUUGUUGGUGGGGUAAUGGCCUACCAAGGCGGCGACGGGUAGCCGGCCUGAGAGGGUGGACGGCCACAUUGGGACUGAGAUACGGCCCAGACGCCUACGGGAGGCAGCAGUGGGGAAUAUUGCACAAUGGGCGCAAGCCUGAUGCAGCGACGCCGCGUGGGGGAGGACGGCCUUCGGGUUGUAAACUCCUUUCGCUAGGGACGAAGCUUUUUGCGACGGUACCUAGAUAAGAAGCACCGGCUAACUACGUG
rnacentral:rRNA from 1 species